UACGGAGGGGGCUAGCGUUGUUCGGAAUUACUGGGCGUAAAGGGCGCGUAGGCGGCCUGUUAAGUCGAACGUGAAAUCCCCGGGCUCAACCCGGGAACUGCGUCCGAUACUGGCAGGCUUGAAUCCGGGAGAGGGAUGCGGAAUUCCAGGUGUAGCGGUGAAAUGCGUAGAUAUCUGGAGGAACACCGGUGGCGAAGGCGGCAUCCUGGACCGGUAUUGACGCUGAGGCGCGGAAGCGUGGGGAGCAAACAGG
rnacentral:rRNA from 1 species